GAUUUACCUGUGUGACUGCGUACCUUUUGUAUAAUGGGUCAGCGACUUAUAUUCUGUAGCAAGGUUAACCGAAUAGGGGAGCCGGAGGGAAACCGAGUCUUAAUUGGGCGUUAAGUUGCAGGGUAUAGACCCGAAACCCGGUGAUCUAGCCAUGGGCAGGUUGAAGGUUGGGUAACACUAACUGGAGGACCGAACCGACUAAUGUUGAAAAAUUAGCGGAUGACCUGUGGCUGGGGGUGAAAGGCCAAUCAAACCGGGAGAUAGCUGGUUCUCCCCGAAAGCUAUUUAGGUAGCGCCUCGUGAACUCAUCUUCGGGGGUAGAGCACUGUUUCGGCUAGGGGGUCAUCCCGACUUACCAACCCGAUGCAAACUGCGAAUACCGGAGAAUGUUAUCACGGGAGACACACGGCGGGUGCUAACGUCCGUCGUGAAGAGGGAAACAACCCAGACCGCCAGCUAAGGUCCCAAAGUCAUGGUUAAGUGGGAAACGAUGUGGGAAGGCCCAGACAGCCAGGAUGUUGGCUUAGAAGCAGCCAUCAUUUAAAGAAAGCGUAAUAGCUCACUGGUCGAGUCGGCCUGCGCGGAAGAUGUAACGGGGCUAAACCAUGCACCGAAGCUGCGGCAGCGACGCUUAUGCGUUGUUGGGUAGGGGAGCGUUCUGUAAGCCGUCGAAGGUGGCCUGUGAGGGUUGCUGGAGGUAUCAGAAGUGCGAAUGCUGACAUAAGUAACGAUAAAGCGGGUGAAAAGCCCGCUCGCCGGAAGACCAAGGGUUCCUGUCCAACGUUAAUCGGGGCAGGGUGAGUCGACCCCUAAGGUGAGGCCGAAAGGCGUAGUCGAUGGGAAACAGGUUAAUAUUCCUGUACUCGGUGUUACUGCGAAGGGGGGACGGAGAAGGCUAUGUUGGCCGGGCGACGGUUGUCCCGGUUUAAGCAUGUAGGCGGGUGUUCCAGGUAAAUCCGGAACGCUGUUAACGCUGAGGUGUGAUGACGAGGCACUACGGUGCUGAAGCAACAAAUGCCCUGCUUCCAGGAAAAGCCUCUAAGCAUCAGGUAACAUCAAAUCGUACCCCAAACCGACACAGGUGGUCAGGUAGAGAAUACCAAGGCGCUUGAGAGAACUCGGGUGAAGGAACUAGGCAAAAUGGUGCCGUAACUUCGGGAGAAGGCACGCUGAUGGUAAGUGAAGUGACUUGCUCAUGGAGCUGAA
rnacentral:rRNA from 1 species